rnacentral:rRNA from 1 species
GUACGCUGGCGGCACGCCUAACACAUGCAAGUCGAACGAAGUAGCAAUACUUAGUGGCAGACGGGUGAGUAACAUGUGGGUAUCUUCCCUUUGGCCUGGAAUAACACGAGGAAACUUGUGCUAAUACCAGAUAAGUCUUCACGGAGAAAGCUUUAUGCACCAUUGGAUGAGCCUGCACUUGAUUAGUUUGUUGGUGGGGUAAUGGCCUACCAAGACUUUGAUCAAUAGCUGAUUUGAGAGGAUGAUCAGCCACAUUGGGACUGAGACACGGCCCAAACUCCUACGGGAGGCAGCAGUGGGGAAUCUUGCACAAUGGAGGAAACUCUGAUGCAGCGAUGCCGCGUGAGUGAAGAAGGCCCUUGGGUUGUAAAGCUCUUUCGUCGGGGAAGAAAAUGACUGUACCCGAAUAAGAAGGUCCG